rnacentral:rRNA from 1 species
GACGAACGCUGGCGGCGUGCCUAAUACAUGCAAGUAGAACGCUGAAGAGAGGAGCUUGCUCUUCUUGGAUGAGUUGCGAACGGGUGAGUAACGCGUAGGUAACCUGCCUUGUAGCGGGGGAUAACUAUUGGAAACGAUAGCUAAUACCGCAUAACAAUGGAUGACACAUGUCAUUUAUUUGAAAGGGGCAAUUGCUCCACUACAAGAUGGACCUGCGUUGUAUUAGCUAGUAGGUGAGGUAAUGGCUCACCUAGGCGACGAUACAUAGCCGACCUGGGAGGGUGAUCGGCCACACUGGGACUGAGACACGGCCCAGACUCCUACGGGAGGCAGCAGUAGGGAAUCUUCGGCAAUGGGGGCAACGCUGACCGAGCAACGCCGCGGGAGUGAAGAAGGUUUUCGGAUCGUAAAGCUCUGUUGUAAGUCAAGAACGGGUGUGAGAGUGGAAAGUUCACACUGUGACGGUAGCUUACCAGAAAGGGACGGCUAACUACGUG